CAUCCAGGCCAUCCCUUGGCACUAUGGUAGCCUGAGGCUGCCCCAGCCCAGAAGUUAAGCAUGGUCAGGCUUGACUAGGGCUUGGAUGGGGGACCACCUGGAAUGACCAGGAGCUGAAGU
rnacentral:rRNA from 1 species